AUUUUCCGCAAUGGGCGCAAGCCUGACGGAGCGACGCCGCGUGGAGGAAGACCCCCUUCGGGGCGUAAACUCCUUUUCUGGGGGACGAAUGAAUGACGGUACCCUAGGAAGAAGCACCGGCUAACUACGUGCCAGCAGCCGCGGUAAGACGUAGGGUGCGAGCGUUGUCCGGAGUUACUGGGCGUAAAGGGCGCGUAGGCGGCGGAGCGCGUCGCACGUGAAAGCCCCCGGCUCAACCGGGGAGGGUCGUGCGAGACGGCUUCGCUGGAGGCAGCGAGAGGCUGGUGGAAUUCCCGGAGUAGUGGUGAAAUGCGUAGAGAUCGGGAGGAACACCGGAGGCGAAGGCGGCCAGCUGGCGCUGACCUGACGCUGAGGCGCGAAGGCUUGGGGAGCGAACGGG
rnacentral:rRNA from 1 species